rfam:Schistosoma mansoni, Puerto Rico, WGS project CABG01000000 data, contig: 0160
AUCCAGCUGAUGAGUCUCUAAUAGGACGAAACGCGCGUCCUGGAU